rnacentral:rRNA from 1 species
UACGUAGGGUGCAAGCGUUAAUCGGAAUUACUGGGCGUAAAGCGUGCGCAGGCGGUUUUGUAAGUCAGAUGUGAAAUCCCCGGGCUUAACCUGGGAACUGCGUUUGAAACUACAAGGCUAGAGUGUGGCAGAGGGGGGUGGAAUUCCGCGUGUAGCAGUGAAAUGCGUAGAGAUGCGGAGGAACACCGAUGGCGAAGGCAGCCCCCCUGGGCUGACACUGACGCUCAGGCACGAAAGCGUGGGGAGCAAACAGG